rnacentral:rRNA from 1 species
GACGAACACUGGCGGCGUGCUUAACACAUGCAAGUCGAACGGAAAGGCCCUGCUUUUGUGGGGUGCUCGAGUGGCGAACGGGUGAGUAACACGUGAGUAACCUGCCCUUGACUUUGGGAUAACUUCAGGAAACUGGGGCUAAUACCGGAUCGGAGCUCCUGCUGCAUGGUGGGGGUUGGAAAGUUUCGGCGGUCGGGGAUGGACUCGCGGCUUAUCAGCUUGUUGGUGGGGGAGUGGCUUACCAAGGCUUUGACGGGUAGCCGGCCUGAGAGGGUGACCGGCCACAUUGGGACUGAGAUACGGCCCAGACUCCUACGGGAGACAGCAGUGGGGAAUAUUGCACAAUGGGCGGAAGCCUGAUGCAGCAACGCCGCGUGCGGGAUGACGGCCUUCGGGUUGUAAACCGCUUUCGCCUGUGACGAAGCGUGAGUGACGGUAAUGGGUAAAGAAGCACCGGCUAACUACGUG